rnacentral:lncRNA from 1 species
CGAGGCGCUGCGCCGCACCCCCGUGACUCAUGCUGCAGACAGUGACAUGCAGCCAUCAAAACUCCUCAUGGGGACAGCGCUCACUGCUGGGAACUCCGUCCUCCACUCGCCCCUCCUGAGCUGUGACUCCCCCUGCACCAGAGCUGAGGCCUGGCACAACUCACAACACCGAUGCAGCCAUACUGAUAAGGGAUUUUGGAGUCCCCCCCCCCCAAGCACGAUUCCUUUGCAAUGGGGAAAUGGAGCCGCGCCGUGCUGGCCGUGUGCGGAGGGGCCGUGGGUCUAACCCUGCUGCUUCCCUCCGCACCAUGAUCAUCCGCCCCCGCCGCCUGACCCCGGGCUAUUUCCGCCUGCUCCAGAUGCAGCUGGCAGCAGGGCGGGGGGCUGAGCCCAGGGAGCGGGCACUGCCCCCCAUGGCCUUGCUGCUGGCGGCUGCUGGGCUCUGCCUCUCCCUCUACAGUGCCCGGAGGAUGGCUGGGCCCCCCAAGGUCCCCCCACAGCCCUGAUGGGCCACAGAGAUGGUCCCCAGGUGCUCAUCUAGGCCUUGGGAUGGUGCCAUGGCUCCCCCCAGCCAACCUACGCCACUGCUCCAUCCUGCCCAUCCAUGCCUUGGAGCUGGAGAACAUACACCUAUCUCUGUCUUGGGAGCCGGGAUGCCACCAGAACGGGACACAAAGUUGACUCAAGCCCCCAACAACAUGAAGGGAUGCAGUGAGCAGGGCCCAGGGCCACCAGUGCAGCCCCAGGCCCCACCAAAGCCCCAGGACUGGGCACGAGACCAGAGGAUAGAAGAGCAGAUGAAGGAGCCGAGUGCAACGUCCACCCCCCCGUUUGAGGCAGAAAGGAGGUCAGCUCUGAGCAGCGUUAGGUAAUACAGCACUGGGACCAGGAACAGCCUCUGAAAUGUGUGCACACGGGGCUGCCUCCUUCCCAAGUGCAACCACAGCUUUCCCCUUCUCCACGCUCAUUGACUCUGAGCGGAGAGCGGAGCUGCUCCCCCCGGCAGAGUUGGACGCUGACAGCUGAAUUUGGUUGCUUUGAUCUCUGAAGGCAGGGGGGAACAAAUCC